UACAGAGGGGGCAAGCGUUGUUCGGAAUUACUGGGUGUAAAGGGCGCGUAGGCGGCCUUCUAAGUCGAACGUGAAAUCCCCGGGCUCAACCCGGGAACUGCGUCCGAUACUGGAAGGCUUGAAUCCGGGAGAGGGAUGCGGAAUUCCAGGUGUAGCGGUGAAAUGCGUAGAUAUCUGGAGGAACACCGGUGGCGAAGGCGGCAUCCUGGACCGGUAUUGACGCUGAGGAGCGAAAGCUAGGGGAGCAAACGGG
rnacentral:rRNA from 1 species